CAUAAAUUAAGUUCUCUCUUUUCCUUUUGCUUUUCCGGUCAUCUGAAAUGGCUCGUACCAAACAAACAGCAAGGAAAUCAACCGGAGGGAAGGCACCACGGAAGCAGCUGGCAACGAAGGCAGCCAGGAAGUCAGCUCCGGCAACCGGAGGAGUGAAGAAACCUCAUCGUUUCAGACCUGGAACGGUAGCACUGAGAGAGAUUAGGAAGUAUCAGAAGAGUACUGAGCUUCUGAUCCGUAAGCUUCCAUUUCAGAGGCUGGGGAGGGGAAUUGCUCAGGAUUUCAAGACAGAUCUGAGGUUUCAAAGCAGUGCUGUUGCAGCUCUUCAGGAGGCUGCAGAAGCAUACCUUGUGGGUCUUUUUGAAGACACAAAUCUCUGUGCCAUUCAUGCCAAGAGGGUUACUAUUAUGCCCAAAGAUAUCCAGCUUGCAAGAAGGAUUAGGGGUGAGAGAGCGUAGAAGAGUCGAUUUCAAUGGUCCUGUAAUGGUUUUGGGUUUGUAGUUUUGAGAAUCUGUUGGUUUGUUUGUAAAUUGCUUCAAAUCUAGUAGCUAAUUGGAUUUGAUAUUUUAAGCUCUCAUGUGUUCGUUGAAAUUAUUCAAUGAGACAGUGAUUUCAAGGAACACAUGAGAGCUUAAAAUAUCAAAUC
rnacentral:misc_RNA from 1 species